rnacentral:lncRNA from 1 species
AACAUUUUAGGUAGCCCAUAUCCCUUUAUAAGAGAAAAUUUGUUUGUUUGUUUCAGAAAUCACGAAGUAAAACCUGAACAAGAAAAUGUAUACCCAAGAUCUCAUCCCUGUGCAAUGUUUGAGGUUUCCAUAAAGCAUUUGAAACCAAGUUGUAGUCAAAAUACUACCACAGCAGCCAGAAACUAGAAUCUUACUGCAAUCAACUUUUCAUCUAUGAAAUGAGCAAUAAGUACCAACACUAUAUUGCACGAAAAAGUAAAAGUAACAAUAUUAAUUCUGAACCUGAAAACCAUACCAACGCCAACCGAAGUCUGAUAACACGGAAUAAAUGGGACGAUGGGGACACCAACAAGAACCCACACUUAAAGAAGACGAACAACAUUAAUUCAGAAGUAACUUCACUACCUAUUGUUAACAGUAGCACUGUAUCAAUUAAGUAUAGAACUGGUCAAAUUUCAAACAUUUCUGAGCAGAAGCGGCGUAAUUUGAAGGCAUCAUCCGUCAGUCCUGCCAGGAGUAACAGGCAAAGCUCUCCCAGGAAAGUGAAUCAAGACGGAGACUUACUGAAUAGGAAGUCACGAUCAGUUCAACCUUCCAGUAAAACGGGGACAGGAAACUCUGGCCUCGGGCAAUCCUCAUCCUCUUCCAAUCAAAGGCUUUCAUGCACUGCUAAUUCAGCAUCGACCAAUGGUGAUGGACUGCGCCGAAUUUCACGGUCAUCCGUGCACCAACACUCACUUGACUCAUCACCAUCCCCAGUGCGCAGCAAUUCUUCCAGAAAUAGUCUCACCUCUACCAGUCAUAUUCCUCUAUCAACAGCCAAGAAAGAAUCAUUACAUGAUGCCUCACUGGAAAGCACUCAACUUCACCACCUCCCUGGUGCUUCAAUAAAGAAACGAUCUCCUGUCCCUGUCAAAGGUACUUAUCUUUCUUGAAUUUUGCUCAGUAUAUUAUUACCUGAAAAACCUUUGAAAGACUGUACUUUAAAGUUUUCUAAUUCAAGCUUAUUCUGCUUCUUGAAAUUCUGGUUUUAAUCACUUAUGUGUGCUUCUAUUUCUUUCUCUCCGCAUAUUUUAUUUUUUCAUCAUUGCUAAUUAGAAAUCUUUAAAUUAAUCUAAUGUUACGAA